CAGCAGCAGCCACGGUAAUACGUAGGGUGCAAGCGUUAAUCGGAAUUACUGGGCGUAAAGCGUGCGCAGGCGGUUUUGUAAGACAGAGGUGAAAUCCCCGGGCUCAACCUGGGAACUGCCUUUGUGACUGCAAGGCUAGAGUACGGCAGAGGGGGAUGGAAUUCCGCGUGUAGCAGUGAAAUGCGUAGAUAUGCGGAGGAACACCGAUGGCGAAGGCAAUCCCCUGGGCCUGUACUGACGCUCAUGCACGAAAGCGUGGGGAGCAAACAGGAUUAGAUACCCGCGUAGUCCCUGUCUCUUAUAU
rnacentral:rRNA from 1 species